UACGGAGGGUGCGAGCGUUGUCCGGAAUCACUGGGCGUAAAGGGCGCGUAGGCGGCCUGAUAAGUAGGGGGUGAAAUCCUGUGGCUUAACCGCAGGGCUGCCUUCUAAACUGUCGAGCUAGAGCACAGUAGAGGCAGGUGGAAUUCCCGGUGUAGCGGUGGAAUGCGUAGAGAUCGGGAAGAACAUCAGUGGCGAAGGCGGCCUGCUGGGCUGUUGCUGACGCUGAGGCGCGACAGCGUGGGGAGCAAACAGG
rnacentral:rRNA from 1 species